rnacentral:lncRNA from 1 species
UCCCAUAUUUUUAAAAUAUAUCUAUAUUUUUAAAUUUUUAUGGCUAAAGAGCUAUUGAAGAGUAAGCUAAGUUUAUUUAUUAAAAAAAUGAGAUUAAACUGUAAGCUUUUAGACCCACUAUAGUGUGUUAACAUAGCCCCCUUUUAAAGAAAAGGGCAGAUUCUAGCACCAUCAGGUACCGGGGGCUCUGAUUAAUUACCAACAAUGGAAAAUGUGCCAGAAUCUCUCUGAAGCUCAACCGACCUUGAGUUGAUUGGGCUGGUUCAGCAGAACUAGAACUUGCUCGCUAUCUCUAUACUGCCAGUGUGCUAUGGCUCAGUGGUUUUCAAACGUUGGUGGGCAGAAGACUAAGUGGGGGCUUAGUAAAUAUUCACAACUUCCCAGAGACCUGCUUCAGUAGGACUAGAAUCAGGUCCAGAAAACUGCCCCCCCCCCCCUUUUUAGGGCCCUACCCUGGGCAUAUGGAGGUUCCCAGGCUAGGGGUCUAAUCAGAGCUAUUGCUGCCAGCCUACACCACUACACCACAGCCACAGCCACGUUAGAUCCAAGCCACAUCUGUGACCUACACCACAGCUCAUGGCAAUGCCAGAUCCUUAACCCACUGAGUGCGGCCAGGGACCGAACCUGCAACCUUAUGGUUCCUAGUCAGAUUUGUUUCCUUUUUAGAGUAUACACGCUAAAUCUGAAGCCAAUAUCGAGAGUCACCUGCUAGAGGAUGUAGUGUGAAACAGCAACAUUUGCGGUUAAGAAUUAGCACAUGUAGAGUUGGUUCAUGCGUGCUUUCCCACAGAGCGCAAAUACAGCACACCAACGCGUAACACUAAAAAUCUACAUCAUCGUCAUAGAAAUUACUUACUAUUUGCCAAAUACAGUCUUGAGUAUGUGUGUAAACACAGAGUUUUGCAAGUAACAAAGUCACGGAGGGAAAACACUCCCUUCAGGAUACACGGAUCAAGGUCCACAUGGAGAAAUGAGCAGAAGCUACUAAAAAAUAUGAGAAGAUUUGAACAGCAGGAAAAAUCUGCCUGUGUCUAAACAGGAAGAUGAUUAUUAUAAAGAUGGACAUUCUCCCCCAAAUUAAUGUAUGCAUAUGUAAAAAUCUGACGAGAUUAUUUUUCCCAUAGAAAUUAUCCCUCAUAAAAGAGGGAGCCAUCUUAUACUUGCAUCCUUACCAAAUCUCUCAUACUAUGGGAGCCUAUCUUUAUUUCAUUUCAAACUUCUUUCGAAGAAGACACAGUCCCCUAAUGUAACAUCUACCAAUGUUAGUUCUACAUGCUGUAGAGGGCAUCCAAUAUAAAGUAGCGAAGGAAGAAGUUUUUAUGAUUUUUUUUUUCUUUUUUGCUAUUUCUUGGGCCGCUCCCGCGGCAUAUGGCGGUUCCCAGGCUAGGGGUCCAAUCAGAGCCACAGCAACGCAGGAUCCGAGCCGUGUCUGCAACCUACACCACAGCUCACAGCAACGCUGGAUUGUUAACCCACUGAGCAAGGCCAGGGACCGAACCCGCAACCUCAUGGUUCCUAGACGGGUUUGUUAACCACUGCGCCACGACGGGAACUCCAAGAAGUUUUUAAAGGAGGUAAAUUUAGUAACUAUUUCUGUGGUAAUGAUUCCGUAAUACAAGUAUCAGAUGUCAUUUUAUUAUUUAUUUAUUUGCUUUUUACGGUUGCACCUGGGCAGAUGGACAUUCCCAGGCUAGGGGUCAAAUUGGAGCUGCAGCUGCCAGCCCACGCCACAGCCAGAGCAACAUCAGAUCCUAGCCACAUCUGUGACCUACCCCAUAGCUCACAGCAAUGCUGUAUCCUUAACACACUGAGCAAGGCCAGGGAUCAAACCCACAUCCUCAUGGAUACUGGUUGGGUUGGUAACCCACUGAGCCACAAAGGGAACUCCUCAGAUAUCAUUUUAAAUGAGGAUUUCGAAGAUGACAGUAGAAAACAGUAUAGUAAAUGUUCAUGUGGCAAUGGUUAAGAACACAUUUUUAGAGUUUUGUUUUUUUUUUUUUUUAAGAGAAAUGAAGAGUAUCACCAUUAUACAAAUGGAUUCUCUGGUUCAGCAUGAAACUUCCCAAUGACAUCCUCCUAGAACCAUCCAAGUGCGGCUCCUCAAGCACAGAGAACAAAGUUAAUGGUGACAGUUAGUGUCUCUAGUGGUGACACAGUUCAGAUACCAAAUAUGCAAGUAGAGAGUUGAGUAAUAUUGUUUCUCGGCAGGUGAGAGUAUUAAAAAGGUGCUUCAAAAUUAAUGUAUUACUUUAUGUACUAAUUCAAAUAAGCAUGUAUCUAAAUCAAUCCAUAAAAUGUUCUAAGUAAUAUUUAUUAUUUAAUUUACUUUCCAUCCCUAAAUUUGUUAAGUACAAGUUUAUAGAAGCCUUUUGGGGGGAGGAUAAGUUUCUGAUUCACCAAAAGGGAUGGACUUGGACCUGUCUUAUAUUCAGACACAAAUAUGUACAAUUUGCAUAAUACAAUUUCGAUUAGAGCAGGAAUUUGUUCUGUAGAAGUUGACACUAAAUCAUCAGGUCAUCCAGAAUCAAAAAUAGGUAUUAGAAUGGAUCCUCCCCGAAUGCACUCCUGCGUAGGAGCAUCUGCCUCUAUCUUCAGCUGCCCUCCCGAGAGGACCUCUCUGUGGCUCUGCCUUCACGACUGGCCCUUCCACCACAACAUCCAAGGGGCUAUUACUGAAAGCACACUAGGUGCCGGGUAUGAACAAUGACUUAUUUGCUCCAUGAACAACUGAUGCAGGAUCCAGCCUCUGCCCCUCCAUGUCUCUGCAGUGUUCAGAGAAUCUCCAGCUGGAGCUUGGCCAGGUGGACAGCUCUCAGAACGCCACACCCAGGUGCUUAUUCCCAGAUACUACAGUGCGGUGUCCACAACACCACCCGCAGAAUAGAACUGUGAUGCCCCUUGUAGAUUUAAUUACAAACUGAGAUCAGGUACAUCCACCAAAGGGGAGACAGUGAUGUAUUUCUCUCACUGGUUCUCAGACUUUAAAAUCAACAGGGAUGUUAGUGACAGAGGUCAAGAGAAAUUAAUUGUAAAAAAAGAGAAGGGUGAACACACCUAAGAGAUCUUUAUCCAAAAGGAGCGGCUACCCAGUUUGGGAGUCUACCAAUGAAGGUGGAUUUUAGAGUGAAGACACAAAUACAAGUAAAGAUGGUGAUAACCCUACCUACCAUGUGCUGAAACAUGUUUUAGUUAUCGAAUAAUCAACUCAGUAUGUAAGUGGCCUAAAAGGAGGCAAAGAAUUGGGGAAAAUGGAAACCACAGAAAUGAGACCUAUGAAGAAUGUGCCAUAUGACACAGGAUUAGGGAGCAUAUCGUACAAUAAGUGGUUCUGGGUCAAAAGAUCAUAUAUUUGAAUAUAAGUUCAUUUUUUAUUUACUUCUUUAGCACAGUCUCCAGACAUGUUAAAUAGUUAACCAUAAAAACUUAAAAAGUGGGAAAAAUAUGGAGGAAGGCUUAAACCAAUGGAAAAAAAUCACAUGAUAAAUCGUAAGAUUUAACUUCAUGAAAUCGUUACACUUCUGUUUAUAAAAAAUUAAAGCUACGACUGAAAGGAAAAUAAACUCUUACCUGUUCAGGAGUGUUGCAUUAUACAGCUGAUUCAUUCUCUAAUACUGAAACACAUUUCCUUCACAGGCUGAUAAAAUACAGGGUGAGAGUUGUUUCAAUACUGUAAAUUGUGUAUUUAUUCACCCACUCAGUUAGAAAGCACAUUUGUGGCACAGUCACUAAAUGUUGUUUGUUAGUUUCCCUAACUAAAAAGGUCAACAUACAGACAUGUUUCUUUUACUUCAUAGCAUGUACAGUCUAGAAAUACAGAUAGAUAUUUUUACACUGUAUUUUUAAGGGCUUGUUCUUUUGAGGGCUUUAAACUUAGGUAAACUAAUCUCAAAAGAGCAAGUAUGCCACCAAUCCAGCCUGCUUUGUGAAUUCCUACCACUGUUAAGACUCAGCUCAGGAAGUUCCCUUGAAACACAGUAGGUUAAGGAUCCAGCACCGCCACAGCUGUGGCACAGGUCACAACUGCAGUGUGGGUUCAGUCCCUGGCUAGGAACUUCCACAUGCUGCAGGUAUGGCAAAAGAAAAAAAAAAAAAGACUCAGUUCAAAUAUGACUUCUUCCCUGAUGCCUUCCUUGACCAUUCCAUACAAAGCUAACUUCAUCCACUAAUCUAUUUAAUCUAUUUAACCAAUAGAUAUUGUGUAUCUACUACCUGUCUUUCUAGGACUAUAAAUGGACAAACACGUCCUCAACAUAUGCGCUAAACAUACUUGCGGUUUUACUACUCCCGCCCUUUUCAGUUUUUCCACAAUAUCAUACACAGCAAUGACCUGACAUUUUUGGAGUGAAACAAUCCUCUGACACUCUGACGAAAACUCUGCACCCUCUCCCCCAAAGACGUUUACUGCUCAUAUACUCAAGACUUUGCCCAGAGUUUUGCUGCAUUCAGAGGUUUUCUGAGGUCCACCACAGAUCAUUUGCCUCAGGUCAAAACAGCUGUUGUAGGCCUUCCCACUCUGGCAUGUGCCCAUAAGCAAUCUUAUGCCCGUGUUUGUUUAUACACUUGCCCUUAAAAACAACACAACCUAACGAUUAAAACGCCUUGUGAACCCCUCCUCUCAGGCAGAAUAUCUUCCUUUGCAUUUACCGUAGCUAAGAGAGUAACAGCCACGUACCAACAUCUAUUGAAUGAAAGUGAGUAUGUGUGAAGAAAUAAUGCAACAGGACCUCACAUAAUUCUUCCUCUAAUACACGCUCCAUGAAAGAUCUUCAUGCCCAUAUGGCACGACGAUACCAGAGACAACUGACCACAUGCAGUAUCAGUUGGGAUUCCUCCUGUUCAAAGUGACAGGAAAAAAAUUCUUAACAGGCUUAAAUAAAUAUCUCCUUAUUGGCUCACGGAACUGAAGAGUCCUUCAUUCAGGCAUUAUCAGAUUCUCAGGAUUGAACUGCCUUCUUGGCCAAUUUUACUGUCCAGCUCUCCACUCUGACUUCCGAUUUGCUGGCCAUGCUCACAUGCACGUGCUUCACUUACCAGGAAGGACUAUGCCACCAGCCACCACCCAUAUGCUUCAAAAUUCAAGAUCAUCAGAAAUGACUGACCCUCUUCCAACACCUCUCGCGCAAGUCCUCUGAUUCACUGUGGUUGAGACAAUUAAGUCAUGCGCUCACUCCGUGAGCUACCCCAGGUGAUCCUCGCCCCAGACACAUGAACUAAACCUAAGCGUGGCCGACCUGCACAUGAAAAUCUGAGGCUUUGAUGUGUUCCGGUGAGUGGGAUGGAAAGGACCUGCACUGUUUUCCCCAGAUAUCCAUAAUCCUCCUUCCCAUCCACCCCCCUUCAAAACACACAGGUCCACAAAAGCUGCCUCUCCCUCUCCAAGUCCGAGGUGGCCUUCAUCAGUGAGAUCUCUUUUAUUUGCUGCAAGU